rnacentral:lncRNA from 1 species
CCUCACGCAUAUAAUUUCCUUUCUGACUUAAGCAUUGGAGGGGCGACGAAAACAUACCUCGUUGCCUUUGUUUCAGGUAUCGAAAUACUACAAUUGUGCUCAUUCAAAUCAUCAAGCUCAGGAAAUCUGCAGAUACAAUUUUUGGUAGCAUCAUUGGCGGCGUCUGUGGGAAACGCUACCAAAAGCCAUGGUUAAUACACGAUCAAGUCUUCCUCCCGCAAGCUCAUCCGCGCCCAUACCUUAUCCUGCCGAAAAUCAAUCGGCUCCUCAUGAAGAAUCCUCAGGAGUGCUCGCACCUCUGCCAGCGGUCAUCACAACCGAAGCCUUUAAAGAGCUCUGUCAGCAGGUGGCCACACUCACGCAACUAUUAAGUCAAAGAAAUUCACAUCCGUCUCUAGCGCAGGUGGAGCAUGGCGAUUUUAUGGUCGAUGCUCGGGCACGACCACCAAACCCCGCAAAUGGCGAAGUAGAAACCUCGGGUAUUCACAAUAUGGCCUCGGGCUCGAGAUCGGUCGCCAUGGAUUCCGGUGAAAUUGCCCGGAUUAUUCAAGAAGAAAUUACAGCUGGCCUGCAAUGGAAUGCUCGGGGGCCAACAGGUUUCACUCCAUUCACGCCAGAGAUAUUGUCAUAUCCCUUGCUCGAUAGAUUCAA